AUUGAACGCUGGCGGCAGGCCUAACACAUGCAAGUCGAACGGAGUGGCGGACGGGUGAGUAAUGUGUGGGAAACUGCCCGAUGGGGGGGGAUAACUACAGGAAAAGGUAGCUAAUAACGCAUACCAUAGGAUGUGCGCAGAUGGGAUUAGCUUGUAGGUGAGGUAACGGCUCACAUAGGCGACGGUCCCUAGCUGGUCUGAGAGGAUGAUCAGUCACACUGGAACUGAGACACGGUCCAGACUCCUACGGGAGGCAGCAGUGGGGAAUAUUGGACAAUGGGCGAAAGCCUGAUCCAGCCAUGCCGCGUGUGUGAAGAAGGUCUUCGGAUUGUAAAGCACUUUAAGUUGGGAGGCGUUACCAACAGAAUAAGCACCGGCUAACUUCGUGCCAGCAGCCGCGGUAAUAC
rnacentral:rRNA from 1 species